UGUUUGCCUUGGUUGGGUUUAUUGUGGGCCCUAGUGCUGGCCAGGUGUUUGCCUUGGUUGGGUUUAUUGUGGGUCCCAGUGCUGGCCAGGUGUUUGCCUUGGUUGGGUUUAUUGUGGGUCCUAGUGCUGGCCAGGUGUUUGCCUUGGUUGGGUUUAUUGUGGGUCCCAGUGCUGGCCAGGUGUUUGCCUUGGUUGGGUUUAUUGUGGGUCCUAGUGCUGGCCAGGUGUUUGCCUUGGUUGGGUUUAUUGUGGGUCCUAGUGCUGGCCAGGUGUUUGCCUUGGUUGGGUUUAUUGUGGGCCCUAGUGCUGGCCAGGUGUUUGCCUUGGUUGGGUUUAUUGUGGGUCCUAGUGCUGGCCAGGUGUUUGCCUUGGUUGGGUUUAUUGUGGGUCCUAGUGCUGGCCAGGUGUUUGCCUUGGUUGGGUUUAUUGUGGGUCCUAGUGCUGGCCAGGUGUUUGCCUUGGUUGGGUUUAUUGUGGGUCCUAGUGCUGGCCAGGUGUUUGCCUUGGUUGGGUUUAUUGUGGGCCCUAGUGCUGGCCAGGUGUUUGCCUUGGUUGGGUUUAUUGUGGGUCCUAGUGCUGGCCAGGUGUUUGCCUUGGUUGGGUUUAUUGUGGGUCCUAGUGCUGGCCAGGUGUUUGCCUUGGUUGGGUUUAUUGUGGGUCCUAGUGCUGGCCAGGUGUUUGCCUUGGUUGGGUUUAUUGUGGGUCCUAGUGCUUUGUUUUUUGCAUCUUUGACCCUCAGUAAGGUACACCAGCUGGAAAUACAAUAUUUUUGGUUAUGGAAAAAUAUAUUUCACUGCAGUUUAGAUGGUACAAUGAUUCUGUACACAAUACUUCCUUGUUUUGUCACAAAAACUUUAAUUAUGUGAACUAAUAGAAUUUCAGCAACCAGGAAACGACAGAGCGAUUUCUGCAUAGUGCAACUUUAACCUGACUAUAAUAAUUGUAACUGUCCUCAGUGAUGUUUUUUUGUAUCCACACACACACGCGCAGCAGUUCAGGUACUUCUGAGUCUACCUUUAUCCAAUAAGGAAACCUUCUCUCCUCCA